rnacentral:rRNA from 1 species
UGAGGAAUAUUGGUCAAUGGGCGUAAGCCUGAACCAGCCAUCCCGCGUGCAGGAAGAAGGCGCUAUGCGUCGUAAACUGCUUUUCCAGGGGAAGAAAACCUGAUACGUGUAUCGGCUUGCCGGUACCCUGGGAAUAAGCAUCGGCUAACUCCGUGCCAGCAGCCGCGGUAAUACGGAGGAUGCGAGCGUUAUCCGGAUUUAUUGGGUUUAAAGGGUGCGUAGGCGGAUUAAUAAGUCAGCGGUGAAAACCUUCAGCUUAACUGGAGACUUGCCAUUGAUACUGUUAGUCUUGAGUACGGUCAAGGUAGGCGGAAUGUGUAAUGUAGCGGUGAAAUGCUUAGAUAUUACACAGAACACCGAUUGCGAAGGCAGCUUACUGGGCCAUUACUGACGCUGAUGCACGAAAGCGUGGGGAGCGAACA